GGGUGCGAUCAUACCAGCACUAAUGCACCGGAUCCCAUCAGAACUACGAAGUUAAACGUGCUUGGGCGAGAGUAGUACUAAGAUGGGUGACCUCUUGGGAAGUCCUCGUGUUGCACCCC
rfam:Ricinus communis cultivar Hale ctg_1100012319295, whole genome shotgun sequence.